GAAAAGAGAGCAAGUGCCAAGGCCAUAGCCCUUACGAAGAACAGUCUGACAGAAGAGGAAAUCAGACUUCUGAAAGAGGGAGUGGCAAGCACUCCUGUGAAGGAUGUUGAACUUGGCGAGUCUAAAGGAUAGGUAUGCUUGGCUGGACAUGGACAUUCAUCGUCAGUUCUGCUUAUUAGUAAUUAUGCUGCAUGUUUAUGUGGCUGCAAGACCGUGCGCAUCCGCUGACCCCUCACACAAAAUCCCAGAAACGUGUUCUAUUUUAUUUAAGCAAUUUGUUCUUUAAUUUAAUUCUUGGUUGUUUUA
rnacentral:misc_RNA from 1 species